AAAUUGAAGAGUUUGAUCAUGGCUCAGAUUGAACGCUGGCGGCAGGCCUAACACAUGCAAGUCGAACGGUAGCACAGAGAGCUUGCUCUCGGGUGACGAGUGGCGGACGGGUGAGUAAUGUCUGGGAAACUGCCUGAUGGAGGGGGAUAACUACUGGAAACGGUGGCUAAUACCGCAUAACGUCGCAAGACCAAAGA
rnacentral:rRNA from 1 species